rnacentral:rRNA from 1 species
UGGGGAAUAUUGGACAAUGGGCGAAAGCCUGAUCCAGCCAUGCCGCGUGUGUGAAGAAGGUCUUCGGAUUGUAAAGCACUUUAAGUUGGGAGGAAGGGCAGUAAGCGAAUACCUUGCUGUUUUGACGUUACCGACAGAAUAAGCACCGGCUAACUCUGUGCCAGCAGCCGCGGUAAUACAGAGGGUGCAAGCGUUAAUCGGAAUUACUGGGCGUAAAGCGCGCGUAGGUGGUUCGUUAAGUUGAAUGUGAAAGCCCCGGGCUCAACCUGGGGACUCCUUCCAAAACUGGCGAGCUCGAGUAGGGCAGAGGGUGGUGGAAUUUCCUGUGUAGCGGUGAAAUGCGUAGAUAUAGGAAGGAACACCAGUGGCGAAGGCGACCACCUGAGCUCAUACUGACACUGAGGUGCGAAAGCGUGGGGAGCAAACAGG